UGACAACGAUUUUCUAUUUUCGUAAACAACUUUUUUUUGCAGGUGUCAUUUACAAAACGACAUCCUUCUGAAGAACAGAACUGUUUCAUCCUGACCAACAUCUUGAAUACGAAAUCCACAAAGCUUGAUGAAGCUGACAAAGAACUUGAGCAGAGACAGUGCAGAUAAAAAUAGAUAAAAACACAAGUUUUAUCACGUCCGACAGUAAACUUCGAUUCAAGGCAAAGAAAUAUUUUAAAAUGAUUGAUGAUAUUGAGAAUUGUAAACGAGAUGUGAAAUAAAAUCAGGAAAAGCCUUUAUUAAUAAUUCUGAUGCCUGUGAAAUUAUGGACUUAACAAUAGAAAUAAGCACAAAAACUAGACGGAAUUCUAGACAUUGUUUUAGAUUAUAGAUACUCUGUAUUCUUUUCACAAAGAGAUUAAUCGUUUUAUAACAAUGUCUCUUUUUUAGUUUAAGAAACACAUAUUUAUCAUGGUCAUAUAAUAAAAAAAAUGAAGCUCAUAGAAAUCUAGUAGUCAUAUUUUGGUGUAGCCGUAUGUUAUGCUGCA